GGCUCUGUGGACUAGGGGUAUAAUUCUCGCUUUGAGUGCGAGAGGUCCUGGGUUCAAAUCUCGGCUGAGCCC
rnacentral:tRNA from 1 species